ensembl:lncRNA
CCAGAAAAACAUACAAGCAUAAAAACAGAAACGGCAGUCAUCAAUCAUACCCUACUGUAUUAUUUCUGUCAUUCUGCCAGUCGGCUCUUGGCUACCCAUCUUGUGGCAGGUGGAUGAAAGUCUAUGUUGGCUGAACACAAACAGUUUGAAAAUCAACAAUCAACAAUCAGAAUCCAUCCAAAUCCAUUCAAAGAAAGACGCUUUUGAGGGAGGGUAAUGAUCCCGUUGGAGCUGCUGGUGUAUUCUUGUUGAACUAUAACAAUGGACUUUCAUGCUUGUUUUUAUUGAAAUGUAAAGAAAAUAACAUUUUGGAUGGUGCAUUUUGCUUUUGCACUAAACUUCAAUAUUUUUUUCAGUACUGUACAGUUACAAUACAUUACAAAAAACCCGUACUUCAUAAUUUUUAAAAGAAAAUUAAGAUACUCAGAAAGUAGGAUAGAAAGGCUGACAUAGUUUGGACAGCAAAAUUGAGUAUUCAGGAAGUUAAAAAUUAGACAUCCUGUUUUGCCAUUAGAACGAUUCAAAUGGAGUGGACGGUUGAUUAACUCAGUCAAUCUACGCUUCAAAGAUUCCACUCUUUAACGCUGCCCCUGCUGCCCCCUCCCACCGCCCACCCCCCCGGCCAACCAUGGGCAAACCUCUGAGUCGCCCUGGAUGUUUCCAGAAAAACUCCUGCUGCCGAGCAAAACAUGGAGUAGGCGAGGGGGGUGGGGUGAGAGGUGGGGGGGGGAGCAUCGUGGAGGGGGGCUAUGGAGACGGCUACGUCCCUCAGCGCUCCAUCUACGACACCAUGUGCCUUAACCAGCAGAUAGACAGCCAGCACCAGCUCCACCACAUCGGCGGCUCCAUGCGGGAGACCGGGGUGGAGGGAGCCUUCAGCUGCUCUGCCAGCAGCUCCCUCCGAGCAGGCCGGUCCCCAGGGGACAUGUUCGACCAGCAGCCGCGCUCGCUCACCCCCAAUCCCUCGUUUGUGCGGCGCUUGGACGAGAGGGCCAUUUAUGACUCCUUAAAGCUGGGGGUCCAGGAGGCCGACGGGGUCGACUGCCGCUCCCCGGGACGCUUUAAGCGCUCAGCCACUCCCUCAGUGUGUUCUUUCUCAGCUCCAGCCGUCUCCUCAUCCUCAUCCAAAAAGCACCACCAUCAACAACAACUACAACAACAACAACAGCAACAACAGCAGAAACUACAACAGCAACAGCAACAACAGCAGCAACAACAACAACAACAACAGCAACAACAGCAACAACAACUACAACAACAACAACAGCAGCAGCAGCAGCAUCAUCAUCAUCAUCACCAUGGAAACAGUGGAAAGAACAGGGACGGACGCCACUCAUGGAAAGUCAUCACCCCCCCAAAUCACAUGGACUGCCUCGAACUCACGUCGGAGGACAUGUUGGAUAGGGGUGGGGGGUAUCUGAACCCUGCCGCCUACCCUCCUGUAGGCAGCUCCUCGCUCGCCUCUCCUGUCGUUUCCCCCUUCACUGGUUCCCCUCACUCUUCAGGCUACCACACCCCCCACUUUUUCUCCCCAGCCAAACCUCGGCCUGUUCAGACACAGAGCUUGCGCUGUUCACCUCCGCACGUCACCCAGCCGAGACACUACUCUCAAACCCAGAGCCUCAGGAUGUCCCCAACACAUGAACUGAGCUACUCUCCCUACCGAGCCCCGCUGGUCCAACUGUCCGCUCGCGACCUCCAAGAGGAGAUGAGGGAACGGGCCUGGGCAGGCAGGGCCGAUCGAGAGCGGGAAAGAGAGUGGGAACGAGAGAGGGAAAGGGAGAUGGAGAGGGGAUGGGCUGAAAGGGAAUGGGAGAAGGAGAGGGAGAGGGGCAGGCUGGAGAGGGAGAGGGCUAGAGAGCGGGAGAGGAAGGACACUUCUGGUUUUGGAACUUUUGGCUACGGCCGAACGGCUCCGCUGUGUUCCGACAGGGACUCAGUGUUCCUAGAAUCUGACCAGAUGCACGAUACCACACCACUGCUGCCCCCCCAGCCGUCACUCUCCCCGUCACCUAAUGCUGCACCCAGGAUGGGAACAUGUGCUGUUGGAAGAAACCGAGCUGGCUCUAAAGUUGGACCAGAAACCAUGAGUGGAAGUGUGCGAUCAUCUAACAGUGGAGGUGGAGUUAGGCCCUGGUUAGGCGGUGAAAGUCGCCCUAGAAGUAUGGCAGAGACACCAUUCACGUCUGAAGCACACUUUGAUCACCGUCAUGAAUCUUGGAGUAAAAGUCAUAAUAGGGUGGACGAAAUAGAAAACCCGAAAGGAAGAAUUGAAUCCCAGUGUAAAAAAGGUCCAGAAAGAAGUUUAUCCGAAAGCAUAAAGCUAUCUGGGAUUAAAACUGAGAAUUCAUCUUCAUCUGCAAGUAAGGAAAAACACAGAAGCCGGUCUGCGGUUGGAAAGAGAACUGAAGAAGUGAAGGUAGACUGUGAACUGAGUGCUGAGGCUAGUACCUGUGCUGUGCAAAAGGUUGGAAACAAGGUUGAGCCUGAGUGUAAUGAAGACAAAAUAAUAAGAUUGGAUGCAAGGACUAAUGGGGAGAAUGAAUCUGUGAUUGUAGAUGUACAAAGACCUGAGCAGUUAGAUACAUUGCAGCACCCUCGUGGGUUGGCUGAUGUAGACGUAUGUGCAGACCAUGAAACAGCCAUUGCCAAAACUGAUGCUAUUGUUGUAUCUAAGGUCGAGACUGCACCUAAGACUGAGCAUAGUUCCCAGUCAGGUAAAACAAAUCCAGACCUCAAUAGUGCAAGGCACAGGGAUGAAAGGGAGACCACUACUGUUGAUUGGGGUAAUCCAGAAUUUCUGCCAUAUGAAAAAGCUGAACAAAAGGUCAAUAUGGGCAAAACUGGAUUUAUUGCUCCCAAACCAGAUUUUGAUAGCCAGAAGUUAUCUACCCCCAAACCCAACAGUAGAACUCGCCCUGGAACAGCUACAGGCCUCCGUCCAGGACUAGUCAGCCCCAAACUAGACAGCGGGUUCGGGGAGCAGGAUCCGGCAGCACCCCCAGAUGGCAUGGAGUCCACCUGGCCCCGGAGAGUCAUUGUCAGAAAGAGAACAGUUCGACAAGGCGGCGCACUGCACAACCUACCCAUCCUCCCACCACUCCCAUCUGUUCUCACUGCACUGGAGAAGAGGUUCCCACACCACCUCCCACGUCUAGCUCAUCAUUCUGAGAAUCCUUUGACAAAUCUGAUUGGCGCAGUAGGGCGGUGCUCUUUAAAAGAACCCUCCCAUCUAGAGCUGGGUCUCUGUGCCACUGUAGUAAGCAGAGCGUCAUUGAAGGAACAAAACUUAGAGCAGUGGAGGGCCACCAAAGAGCAUAAUGAUCUCAGGAUGCAAAGCAGAAAUAAUAAGAAUCCAGAAGAGUCCACAGCGGAGAAGGAGGAAAAUAAGGUGAAACGUGUAGAGCAUGAUAAACUAAAAUCAAAAGAGGUGACUGGUAGUGCUCAGGGAGAAAAGCAUGACAAAAGCAAUAGCUAUCAAUGUGAGAAGAAUUAUGGUGUGGUCAAAGUAGAGCAUGUCAUAACAAAACAGGUAGAAUCAAGAGACAUUGCACAAGUAGAUAUCCAAGACAGUGUGAAUCAGGAGUACUUGUUAGCGUUAGAAGUAAAGGGGAUCAAGGCAGAAGAAAGCACAAGCAAGGUGAUGCCUUCACAAGAGCAACCCAAACCAAAAGAAGAUAAGGUUGGCGGUAAACCAGAAGUCAGAAUAGAUGUAGAAGGAGAAUGGAUGGAAGAGAGGGAUGUUGGCGGGAUGGCCGGGGAGGUGGAGAGCUGGGAUGUGGUGCUGAAGAUGGUCAACACCAUUUGGGAGGAUGGCUGGGCCGGAGGCAGAGCUGCAGGGCCAGUGGAGGAAGGCGACACCGGCUCCAUAUCCGGUUCCUUGCAGCGUUGGCCUCUUCUCAGACCCCCUGCAGGCUUUGGGGGCUCCCACCCAUCGUCCUCGGCUGCUUCAGAGCUCAGCUUGACCGAGCUGGAAAGGAGGGCCAGGGAGCUGGACUCAGACCUCGAGCAUCUCGACCUGUCCCUGCCCCACAGGGAAGCAUACGGUCUGAUGCUUCCCAAGCCGCAGAAGGAAAGGACCGACAUGUACCAAACGCACCCGGGGCCCCAAAGAGAGAAAGGUGCUUUUCUCACAGGUCUAGGGAGCAGGUCUCAGGUCCUUCUAGAGAUGGUUCCUACCAUUACAGAGAAGGUCAUUACGGACGUUGACACCAACUGGUCAGAAAAGUCUGAUGCUGGGGCACCUACCAUAGGCAUCAGCUCCACUAAAGAGGACAGCUCUCCAGACUCAAACCUUACCUUAGAGUCGGAUUCCAGCGGCGUCUUCCUUUCCAUGUCGAAUCAGAGCCAAGACGAGAUGGGCUCUGACAGCGAUCAGCCAAUGAGUGGUUCCGACUUGGGCAGCAGCAGCACAUCAUUCGACAGAGAUGGGGAAGAGGCGGGUGCAAAAGAGUGGGGACGUGAGGAGAGUGCUGAGCUGGACUGGUGCUACCCUUCACUCCUCGACCCCUCUUCACAUGAACAUACAGCAGAGGAAGGAAAUGGAGAUGAAAACAAAAACCCAAGAGAUACAAAAAAAGAGGCUGUAUCCAUUAAGACCUCAGCUCAGAUGUUCAGUUCAGUUUCGCUCCCAACAUCCCCUUCCAAACAACUAAUCAAACAAUUCCUCAAUCCCAAUCUACCAAUGAGAAGCUCGGGAUUAGAUUGUGGUGACUUGGAUCCCUUUAUCCAAUCAGAUAGCUUUGUUUACCUUGCAGUGUCCACAAGCUCCAGCCCCCAGGCUGAGAAAACCGAAGCCAUAGACAAACCCCCCCAUGGGGCCAUCCAAGUCAUCUCAAACCAGUUACCCAGCUUGCCCCGAGCUCCCGAGGACUCCUCCCCCGCACAGAAGGCUGUCGUCAAGGUGACUCAUCUUGUGCCCCAGCGUCCAGAGGGAGAAGACUUCCUGUCCACGGAUAGUUUUGUUUACCUCGCUGCUCCAGCAUGUCUCUUACUGGGCCCAGAAGGAACUGCACCCUACGGUACAAGGGAUUCUGAUUCGGACAGCUCUGGAUCUGGCGCCGCCGACAUGUCGGUGCUGGGCUGCGGAUCCCUGGCCGGGGACAGCGACUGGGACUCGGACGCUUCGGACUCAUACCCCCAUCGCCCUUCUUCCAGAGUCCCCGGGGCCAGCGACAGGCCUCCGUCUGGCCCCGUCCGUCCGAAACGCCACCCCACCACUGAGCCCAGCUGGGACCUGUUCCAAGAUGUCACCGAGCCGGAAGUACUGCCCGAACUGCUCGACGAAGAAGGCCACGAAGAAAGCGACGAAGAAGGCGACGAAGAAGGCGAUGAAGACGGUGCCACCAGCGGCAGCAACAACCUAAACAACAAUGUCACCACGGUUACAGUUGCGGCUACAACUAUGGUAAUAACCACCCCCGGGUUCGUCAACGAGGUGACUCCCGAGCCAGCAGACGAGAUGGCGAAAGCCGUUGCGACGUUGGAGCAGGCGUCCACCACCAAGAAGGUGACAUGGCAGUUCAAGCCGGCGCAGAGAUCUGUGUGCACAGGAAGCAGGAAAGAGAAAGAACCAUCAAGGUCGUCAUCACUGAGGUACGCCGACCAGGGACCGGAAGAGGCGCACUGUCCCUUACCAUCGUCGCCCUCUUCUUCCUCCUCACCAUCCUCAUCAUCGUCCUCUGGUUGA